rnacentral:rRNA from 1 species
GAUGAACGCUGGCGGCGUGCCUAAUACAUGCAAGUCGAGCGAACAGACGAGGAGCUUGCUCCUCUGACGUUAGCGGCGGGCGGGUGAGUAACACGUGGAUAACCUACCUAUAAGACUGGGAUAACUUCGGGAAACCGGAGCUAAAACCGGAUAAUAUAUUGAACCGCAUGGUUCAAUAGUGAAAGACGGUUUUGCUGUCACUUAUAGAUGGAUCCGCGCCGCAUUAGCUAGUUGGUAAGGUAACGGCUUACCAAGGCAACGAUGCGUAGCCGACCUGAGAGGGUGAUCGGCCACACUGGAACUGAGACACGGUCCAGACUCCUACGGGAGGCAGCAGUAGGGAAUCUUCCGCAAUGGGCGAAAGCCUGACGGAGCAACGCCGCGUGAGUGAUGAAGGUCUUCGGAUCGUAAAACUCUGUUAUUAGGGAAGAACAAAUGUGUAAGUAACUAUGCACGUCUUGACGGUACCUAAUCAGAAAGCCACGGCUAACUACGUG